GAGUCCGGCGGACGAAGUUGGCCAGCCCCACCCCCCAAGGCUAUAGCCCCACCCGUUUUUGUGGCCUUUUUACGCAGGACGAAUUUGGCGCCCCGGCCUUCGAGCGGUUAUUUUUAGGCGCGGCUGUUCCCGCGGCCUAUUUUUGGCACACGGAGGGGCCUUGCAAAGUCUCGCGCCAUUCCGAGUCCGGCAGACAAAGUUGGCCGGCCCCACCCCCCAAGGCUAUAGCCCACCCGUUUUUGUGGCCUUUUUCCGCUGGACGAACUUAGCGCCCCGGCCUUCGGGCGGUUAUUUUUGGGUGCGUCUGUGCCCGCGGCCUAUUUUUGGCACACGGAGGUACCUCACAAUGUCUCGCGCCAUUCCGAGUCCGGCGGACUAAGUUGGCCAGCCCCACCCCCCAAGGCUACAGUCCACCCGUUUUUGUGGCCUUUUUCCGCUGGACGAACUUGGCGCCCCGACCUUCGGGCCGUUAUUUGUGGGCGCGGCUGUGCCGCGGCCUAUUUUUGGCACACGGAAGCCGCUCGCAAAGUCUCGCGCCAUUCCAAGUCCGGCGGACGAAGUUGGCCGGCCCCACCCCGCAAGGCUAUAGCCCACCCGUUUUUGUGGCCUUUUUCCGCUGGACGAACUUUGCGCCCCAGCCUUCGGGCGGUUAUUUUUUAGCGCGGCUGUGCCCUCAGCCUUUUUUGGCACACGGAGGCGCCUCGUAAAGUCUCACGCCAUUCUGAGUCCGGCGGACGAAGUUGGCCAGCCCCACCCCCCAACGGUAUAGCCCACCCGUUUUUGUGGCCUUUUUACGCAGGACGAACUUGGCGCCCCGGCCUUCGAGCAGUUAUUUUUGGGUACGGCUGCGCCCGCGUCCUAUUUUUGGCACACGGAGGGGCCUCGCAAAGUCUCGCGCCAUUCCGAGUCCGGCGGACGAAGUUGGCCGGCCCCACCCCCCAAGGCUAUAGCCCACCCGUUUUUGUGGCCUUUUUCCGCUGGACGAACUUAGCGCCCCGGCCUUCGGGCGGUUAUUUUUGGGCGCGUCUGUGCCCGCAGCCUAUUUUUGGCACACCCAGGCGCCUCGCAAAGUCUCGCGCCAUUCCGAGUCCGGCGGACCAAGUUGGCCGGCCCCACCCCCCAAGGCUAUAGCCCACCCGUUUUUGUGGCCUUUUUCCGCUGGACGAACUUGGCGCCCCGGCCUUCGGGCGGUUAUUUUUGAGCGCGGUUUUGCCGCGGCUUAUUUUUGGCACACGGAAGCCGGUCGCAAAGUCUCGCGUCAUUCCGAGUCUGGCGGACGAAGUGGGCAAGCCCCACCCCCCAAGGCUAUAGCCCACCCGUUUUUGUGGCCUUUUUACGCAGGACGAACUUGGCGCCCCAGCCUUCGAGCGGUUAUUUUUGGGCGCGGCUGUGCCCGCGGCCUAUUUUUAGCACACAGAGGGGCCUCGCAAAGUCUCGCGCCAUUCCGAGUCCGGCGGACGAAGUGGGCCAGCCCCACCCCCCAAGGCUAUAGCCCACCCGUUUUUGUGGCCUUUUUCCGCUGGACGAACUUGGCGCCCCAACCUUCGGGCGGUUAUUUUUGGGCGCGGCUGUUCCCAUGGCCUAUUUUUGGCACACGGAGGCGCCUCACAACGUCUCGCGCCAUUCCGAGUCCGGCGGACGAAGUUGGCCAGCCCCACCCCCCACGGUUAUAGCCCACCCGUUUUUAUGGCCUUUUUCCGCUGGACGAACUUGGCGCCCCGGCCUUCGGGCGGUUAUUUUUGGGCGCAGCUGUGCCCGCGGCCUAUUUUUGGCACACGGAGUCGCCUCGCAAAGUAUCGCACCAAUCCGAGUCCGGCGGACGAGGUGGGCCAGCCCCACCCCCCAAGGCUAUAGCCCACCCGUUUUUGUGGCCUUUUUCCGCUGGACGAACUUGGCGCCCCAACCUUCGGGCGGUUAUUUUUGGGCGCGGCUGUUCCCGUGGCCUAUUUUUGGCACAAGGAGGUGCCUCGCAAAGUCUCGCACCAUUCCUAGUCCGGCGGACGAAGUUGAGCAGCCCCACCCCCCACGGCUAUAGCCCACCCGUUUUUAUGGCCUUUUUCCGCUGGACGAACUUGGCGUCCCGGCCUUCAGGCGGUUAUUUUUGGGCGCAACUGUGCCCGCGGCCUAUUUUUGGCACACGGAGGGACCUCGGAAUGUCUCGCGCCAUUCCGAGUCCGGCGGACGAAGUUGGCCAGCCCCUCCCCCCAAGGCUAUUGCCCACCCGUUUUUGUGGGUUUUUUCCGCGGGACGAACUUGGCGCCCCGGCCUUCGGGCGGUUAGUUUUGGGCGCGGCUGUGCCCAAGGCCUAUUUUUGGCACACGGAGGCACCUCGCAAAGGCUCGCGUAAUUCCGAGUCCGGCGGACUAAGUUGGCCAGCCCCACCCCCCAAGGCUAUAGCCCACCCGUUUUUGUGGGCUUUUUCCGCUGGACGAACUUGGCGCCCCGGCCUUCGGCCGGUUAUUUUUGGGCGUGGCUGUGCCCGCGGCCUAUGUUUGGUAUACGGAGAUGCCUCGCAAAGUAUCACGCCAAUCCGAGUCCGGCGGACGAAGUUGGCCAGCCCCACCCCCCAAGGCUGUAGCCCUCCCGUUUUUGUGGGCUUUUUCCGCUGGACGAACUUGGCGCCCCGGCCUUCGGGCGGUUACUUUUGGGUGUGGCUGUGCCCGCGGCCUAUUUUUGGCACACGGAGUCGCCUCGCAAAGUAUCGCGCCAAUCCGAGUCCGGCGGACGAAGUUGGCCAGUCCCACCCCCCAAGGCUAUCGCCCACCCGUUUUUGUGGGCUUUUUCCGCUGGACGAACGUGGCGCCCCGGCCUUCGGGGGGUUAUUUUUGGGCACGGCUGUGCCUGCGGCCUAUUUUUGGCACACGGAGGCACCUCGAAAUGUUUCGCGCCAUUCCGAGCCCAGCAGAUGAAGUUGGCCAGCCCCACCCCCCAAGGCUAUAGCCCACCCGUUUU
rnacentral:lncRNA from 1 species